GAAUAAGGAGAGGGCAAGUCUGGUGUCAGCCGCCGCGGUAAUACCAGCUCUCCGAGUUGUAGGGAUGUUUAUUGGGCCUGAAGCAUCCGUAGCCGGCUGGACAAGUCCUCUGUUAAAUCCAGCGACCAAUCGUUGGUCUGCGGGGGAUACUGUCCGGCUAGGGGGCGGGAGAGGCCGUCGGUAUUCUUGGGGUAGGGGUGAAAUCCUAUAAUCCCAGGAGGACCACCAGUGGCGAAGGCUGUCGGCUAGAACGCGCCCGACGGUGAGGGAUGAAAGCUGGGGGAGCGAACCGGAUUAGAUACCCGGGUAGUCCCAGCUGUAAACGAUGCAGGCUAGGUGUUAGGGCGGCUACGUGCCGCUCUAGUGCCGCAGGGAAGCUGUUAAGCCUGCCGCCUGGGGAGUACGGCCGCAAGGCUGAAACUUAAAGGAAUUGGCGGGGGAGCACCACAAGGGGUGAAGCUUGCGGUUUAAUUGGAGUCAACGCCGGAAAUCUCACCGGGGGCGACAGCAGGAUGAAAGCCAGAUUAAAGGUCUUGCCAGACGAGCUGAGAGGAGGUGCAUGGCCGUCGCCAGUUCGUGCCGUGAGGUGUCCUGUUAAGUCAGGCAACGAUCGAGACCCGCAUCCCCCGUUGCAACUAGCCUUGAGCUGGGCACACUGGGGAGACCGCCGCCGAUAAGGCGGAGGAAGGAGCGGGCCACGGCAGGUCAGUAUGCCCCGAAUCUCCCGGGCCACACGCGAGCUGCAAUGGCAGGCACAAUGGGUUCCGACCUCGAAAGGGGAAGGCAAUCUCUAAAACCUGCCGUAGUUGGGAUCGAGGGUUGAAACCCACCCUCGUGAACAUGGAAUCCCUAGUAAUCGCGUGUCACUAGCACGCGGUGAAUACGUCCCUGCUCCUUGCACACACCGCCCGUCGUUCCAUCCGAGCGACUUCUGGGUGAGGCGUGGUCUUCCUUGGCUGCGUCGAAUCUAGGUCUCGUAAGGAGGGAAAAGUCGUAACAAGGUGGCCGUAGGGGAACCUGCGGCCG
rnacentral:rRNA from 1 species